ensembl:rRNA 5S_rRNA 5S ribosomal RNA
GCCAGCAGCCAUGUCACCCUGCAACUUACAAUUGGCAACCCACUGAAGCUAAGUAGGUGUGAGCCUGGUCAGUACCUGGAUGGGAGACCUCCUGGGAAAAACUAAGGUUGCUGCUGGAA